UACGUAGGGGGCUAGCGUUGUCCGGAAUCAUUGGGCGUAAAGCGCGUGUAGGCGGUCCGGUAAGUCCGCUGUGAAAGUCGGGGCUCAACCCUCGGAUGCCGGUGGAUACUGUCGGGCUUGAGUACGGAAGAGGCGAGUGGAAUUCCUGGUGUAGCGGUGAAAUGCGCAGAUAUCAGGAGGAACACCAAUGGCGAAGGCGGUCUCUGGCAACAACGUGACGCUGAGGAGCGAAAGCGUGGGAGCGAACAGG
rnacentral:rRNA from 1 species